rnacentral:rRNA from 1 species
GUCCACGCUGUAAACGAUGGAUGCUAGGUGUUGGGGGUAUUGACCCCUCCAGUGCCGCAGUUAACGCAUUAAGCAUCCCGCCUGGGGAGUACGGCCGCAAGGCUAAAACUCAAAGGAAUUGACGGGGGCCCGCACAAGCGGUGGAGCAUGUGGUUUAAUUCGACGCAACGCGAAGAACCUUACCUGGGUUAAAUCCGCCGAAAUUCCGCAGAGAUGUGGAAGUGCCCUUCGGGGAAUCGGUGAGAAGGUGCUGCAUGGCUGUCGU